AGUCAUAUGCUUGUCUCAAAGAUUAAGCCAUGCAUGUCUAAGUAUAAGCACUUAUACCGUGAAACUGCGAAUGGCUCAUUAAAUCAGUUAUCGUUUAUUUGAUGGUGCCUUACUACUUGGAUAACCGUGGUAAUUCUAGAGCUAAUACAUGCCAAAAACCCCGACUCACGAAGGGGUGUAUUUAUUAGAUAGCAAGCCAACGUCUCUUCGGGGACUCACUGGUGAUUCAUGGUAACUAAACGUAGCGCAUGGCCUUGCGCCGGCGCAGGAUCAUUCAAAUACCUGCCCUAUCAAGUUUCGAUGCGAGGGUAGUGUCCUCGCAUGCUUUUGACGGGUAACGGGGAAUUAGGGUUCGACUCCGGAGAGGGAGCCUGAGAAACGGCUACCACAUCCAAGGAAGGCAGCAGGCGCGCAAAUUACCCAAUCCCGACACGGGGAGGUAGUGACAAGAAAUACCGAUGCAGGAUUCUUAUGGAUCUUGUAAUUGGAAUGAGUACAAUUUAAACCCAUUAACGAGGAACAACUGGAGGGCAAGUCUGGUGCCAGCAGCCGCGGUAAUUCCAGCUCCAGUGGCGUAUAUUAAAGUUGUUGCAGUUAAAACGCUCGUAGUUGAACCUUGGGCCUGGCUGGCUGGUCCGCCUCACCGCGUGCACUGGUCCGGCCGGGCCUUUCCUCUUGGGGAGCCGCAUGCCCUUCGCUGGGCGUGUCGGGGAACCAGGACCUUUACUUUGAAAAAAUUAGAGUGUUCAAAGCAGGCCUUUGCUCGGAUACAUUAGCAUGGAAUAAUGGAAUAGGACGUGCGGUCUUAUUUUGUUGGUUUCUAGGACCGCCGUAAUGAUUAAUAGGGAUAGUUGGGGGCAUCAGUAUUCAAUUGUCAGAGGUGAAAUUCUUAGAUUCAUUGAAGACUAACUACUGCGAAAGCAUUUGCCAAAGGAUGUUUUCAUUAAUACAGCGAAGCGAAACGUUAGGGGAUCGAAGACCAUCAGAUACCGUCGUAAUCUUAACCGUAAACCAUGCCGACUAGGGAUCGGGCGGUGUUUACAUCAUGACUCGCCCGGCGCCUUGCGAGAAAUCAAAGUGUUUGGGUUCU
rnacentral:rRNA from 1 species